rnacentral:rRNA from 1 species
ACUACGGGAGGCAGCAGUGGGGGAUAUUGCACAAUGGGGGGAACCCUGAUGCAGCGACGCCGCGUGGGUGAAGAAGCGCCUCGGCGCGUAAAGCCCUGUCAGCAGGGAAGAAAAUGACGGUACCUGAAGAAGAAGCCCCGGCUAACUACGUGCCAGCAGCCGCGGUAAUACGUAGGGGGCAAGCGUUAUCCGGAUUUACUGGGUGUAAAGGGGGCGCAGCCGGCGAUGCAAGCCAGGAGUGAAAGCCCGGGGCCCAACCCCGGGACUGCUCUUGGAACUGCGUGGCUGGAGUGCAGGAGGGGCAGGCGGAAUUCCUGGUGUAGCGGUGAAAUGCGUAGAUAUCAGGAGGAACACCGGUGGCGAAGGCGGCCUGCAGGACUGCAACUGACGUUGAGGCCCGAAAGCGUGGGGAGCAAACAGGAUUAGAUACCCGAGUAGUC